UUUAUAUUUUUUGUCUUAUUUUGUGAGGUUGUUUUUACUUUGAUGUUACAAUUACAACUUUUUUACACAUAAUGAUCACAUAUUGUACCCGCAAAAGUAAAAUAAAAAAAUAAAAAGUACUGUUAUGCAUGUUGUAGAUCCUACUUAACUAUCCUCUUUUUUACAUUGUAAUUCAUUUAUUUUAUUUUAAACUUCAUACCAACAUUUUAUUAUAUCUUGUAGAAAAAUCACCACAAAUGUCAGAACUGUAUCACAGAUGGCAUUGCAAAUCACCUAUAUUUCUUACUAUCAAACAUAACCAAAGUAUACAAUUCAUCUAUUCAUUCACUUGAUAUUUUCACAUUCCACACAUCAAACCAAAAGUCACAAAUUUUAAUUUGCACUGUUGUAAUGAAAAAUCAGUUUGUGUAAGGAUGCCAAC
rnacentral:lncRNA from 1 species